ensembl:lncRNA
UAAUAACAACCUCAUCCUCGAUUUGUGUUUAAUCCUUGAAAUGUCAGUGAACAUUUCUGACAUUUAAGAUGUUUUUGAUAGUAAAAAGAGGUGUUUUUUUCAUUUGUUUGUUUUUUUUUUCGGUUUUGGUUUUGGUUUUUGAUAUUCUAGGAAACUCCCAGUGCAAAGAAAUGCAGAAAAGAUCAUUCUGAACAAAAAAGUCUAACUACAACAAGUCUCUUAUGGCAACUGGAAACAAUUAAAUAUAUAUAUAUCCAAGAUGACUGAUAAGCAAAAAGCAUGAUAGAGAUAUACAGAAGUAAUUGCAGAAUCUAUCGAAGGAAGUUACUCCAGCCAGAGAUCCUACAACAUGAGAGUGAUUAGAUUUACAUGUAUAAAAAAAAGACAACGUGAGAUUUGCAUAGGAGGUAGUGAAGCACGCAUUCCCAAUGUAUUAAGAAGCACAGAAGGUUUGAAGCACUACUGCAAGGAGGAAAUGGAGACAAUGUUUUGCCUGACAUUCAUAAUUGCAUUCAAAUACUCAGCUGGAUUCAUAGUGCUGGUCUUUGAACAAGGAGAAACUAAAUCAGGCAAAACCAUCACAAUGAUCCCUAAAUCUUCUGCAGAUAAGAUACAGAUGUUUAUGUGGCUUGCUUAAACAAGACUAUAUGACCAUGAACAUAAAACACCAAUGUUUUCUUUGCACCAAGAAAUCUUCUUAAGUGACUUCACAAGAUUCUACACAAACGUCAAAGCAGAACUGCUAAACCUGAUGGUGGUUUAUUGCCAAGUUACAUAAUGUAUAAAAUUGCAAACAAGUUUUUCAAUAUAAUUGCCCUUUAUUGGCAUGGUUCUUAAAAUCUUGACUUUUUGUAGUAUUUGACAAACAGUAUCAAUUUCAUCUGAGUAGUUAACAGGCAACUAAAUAGAAGACAUAUUAUGCUACAAGUUUUCUGUUGCUUUAAACAAUGAUAGGCUUAAUAAAAGACUUAUCAUAUGUCUCCUAUUGAGUAUG